ensembl:lncRNA
CCCCUCUCUCCCUGGCCUGUCUCCCCCUGUCUGGUACAGGUACCCCCCCACCACACUCCCACCUCUCUGUUCACCAUCUGCCCUGGUCUGUCUCCCCCUGUCUGGUACAGGUACCCCACCACACUCCCCCCCUCUCCCUGGCCUGUCUCCCCCUGUCUGGUACAGGUACCCCCACCACACUCCCCCUCUCUCCCUGGCCUGUCUCCCCCUGUCUGGUACAGGUACCCCCACCACACUCCCCCCUCUCCCUGGCCUGUCUCCCCCUGUCUGGUACAGGUACCCCCACCACACUCCCCGCUCUCUCCCUGGCCUGUCUCCCCCUGUCUGGUACAGGUACCCCCACCACACUCCCCCCUCUCUCC